rnacentral:rRNA from 1 species
UCGACUUGGAGGUUGUGCCCUUGAGGCGUGGCUUCCGGAGCUAACGCGUUAAGUCGACCGCCUGGGGAGUACGGCCGCAAGGUUAAAACUCAAAUGAAUUGACGGGGGCCCGCACAAGCGGUGGAGCAUGUGGUUUAAUUCGAUGCAACGCGAAGAACCUUACCUACUCUUGACAUCCAGAGAACUUACCAGAGAUGCUUUGGUGCCUUCGGGAACUCUGAGACAGGUGCUGCAUGGCUGUCGUCAGCUCGUGUUGUGAAAUGUUGGGUUAAGUCCCGCAACGAGCGCAACCCUUAUCCUUUGUUGCCAGCGGUUCGGCCGGGAACUCAAAGGAGACUGCCAGUGAUAAACUGGAGGAAGGUGGGGAUGACGUCAAGUCAUCAUGGCCCUUACGAGUAGGGCUACACACGUGCUACAAUGGCGCAUACAAAGAGAAGCGACCUCGCGAGAGCAAGCGGACCUCAUAAAGUGCGUCGUAGUCCGGAUUGGAGUCUGCAACUCGACUCCAUGAAGUCGGAAUCGCUAGUAAUCGUGGAUCAGAAUGCCACGGUGAAUACGUUCCCGGGCC